rnacentral:rRNA from 1 species
GUAAACGGCGGCCGUAACUAUAACGGUCCUAAGGUAGCGAAAUUCCUUGUCGGGUAAGUUCCGACCUGCACGAAUGGCGUAAUGAUGGCCAGGCUGUCUCCACCCGAGACUCAGUGAAAUUGAACUCGCUGUGAAGAUGCAGUGUACCCGCGGCAAGACGGAAAGACCCCGUGAACCUUUACUAUAGCUUGACACUGAACACUGGUCCUUGAUGUGUAGGAUAGGUGGGAGGCUUUGAAGUGUGGACGCCAGUCUGCAUGGAGCCAUCCUUGAAAUACCACCCUUUAAUGGCUGGUGUUCUAACGUGGGCCCGUGAUCCGGGUUGCGGACAGUGUCUGGUGGGUAGUUUGACUGGGGCGGUCUCCUCCUAAAGAGUAACGGAGGAGCACGAAGGUCAGCUAAUCCUGGUCGGACAUCAGGAGGUUAGUGCAAUGGCAUAAGCUGGCUUGACUGCGAGCGUGACGGCGCGAGCAGGUGCGAAAGCAGGUCAUAGUGAUCCGGUGGUUCUGAAUGGAAGGGCCAUCGCUCAACGGAUAAAAGGUACUCCGGGGAUAACAGGCUGAUACCGCCCAAGAGUUCAUAUCGACGGCGGUGUUUGGCACCUCGAUGUCGGCUCAUCACAUCCUGGGGCUGAAGUAGGUCCCAAGGGUAUGGCUGUUCGCCAUUUAAAGUGGUACGCGAGCUGGGUUUAGAACGUCGUGAGACAGUUCGGUCCCUAUCUGCCGUGGGCGCUGGAGAAUUGAGGGGGGCUGCUCCUAGUACGAGAGGACCGGAGUGGACGCAUCACUGGUGUUCGGGUUGUCAUGCCAAUGGCAUUGCCCGGUAGCUAAAUGCGGAAGAGAUAAGUGCUGAAAGCAUCUAAGCACGAAACUUGCCCCGAGAUGAGUUCUCCCUGACUCCUUGAGAGUCCUGAAGGAACGUUGAAGACGACGACGUUGAUAGGCCGGGUGUGUAAGCGCAGCGAUGCGUUGAGCUAACCGGUACUAAUGAACCGUGAGGCUUAACCUU